rnacentral:rRNA from 1 species
UAAGGAAUAUUGGUCAAUGGACGCAAGUCUGAACCAGCCAUGCCGCGUGAAGGAUGAAGGUCCUCUGGAUUGUAAACUUCUUUUAUAUGGGACGAAACCCCGGUAUUCCUACCAGAUUGACGGUACCAUAGGAAUAAGCACCGGCUAACUCCGUGCCAGCAGCCGCGGUAAUACGGAGGGUGCAAGCGUUAUCCGGAUUCACUGGGUUUAAAGGGUGCGUAGGAGGGCAGGUAAGUCAGUGGUGAAAUCUUCGAGCUUAACUCGGAAACUGCCGUUGAUACUAUCUGUCUUGAAUACCGUGGAGGUGAGCGGAAUAUGUCAUGUAGCGGUGAAAUGCUUAGAUAUGACAUAGAACACCGAUUGCGAAGGCAGCUCACUACACGAAUAUUGACUCUGAGGCACGAAAGCGUGGGGAUCAAA